UGCCAGUCGAGCGGUAGCACAGAGAGCUUGCUCUCGGGUGACGAGCGGCGGACGGGUGAGUAAUGUCUGGGAAACUGCCUGAUGGAGGGGGAUAACUACUGGAAACGGUAGCUAAUACCGCAUAACGUCGCAAGACCAAAGUGGGGGACCUUCGGGCCUCAUGCCAUCAGAUGUGCCCAGAUGGGAUUAGCUAGUAGGUGGGGUAAUGGCUCACCUAGGCGACGAUCCCUAGCUGGUCUGAGAGGAUGACCAGCCACACUGGAACUGAGACACGGUCCAGACUCCUACGGGAGGCAGCAGUGGGGAAUAUUGCACAAUGGGCGCAAGCCUGAUGCAGCCAUGCCGCGUGUAUGAAGAAGGCCUUCGGGUUGUAAAGUACUUUCAGCGAGGAGGAAGGCGUUAAGGUUAAUAACCUUGGCGAUUGACGUUACUCGCAGAAGAAGCACCGGCUAACUCCGUGCCAGCAGCCGCGGUAAUACGGAGGGUGCAAGCGUUAAUCGGAAUUACUGGGCGUAAAGCGCACGCAGGCGGUCUGUCAAGUCGGAUGUGAAAUCCCCGGGCUCAACCUGGGAACUGCAUUCGAAACUGGCAGGCUAGAGUCUUGU
rnacentral:rRNA from 1 species